rnacentral:rRNA from 1 species
AAACUUAAAGGAAUUGACGGGGGAGCACUACAACGGGUGGAGCCUGCGGUUUAAUUGGACUACAACGCCGGAAAACUCACCGGGGGCGACAGCAAUAUGUAGGUCAAGCUAAAGACUUUACCAGAAUCGCUGAGAGGAGGUGCAUGGCCGUCGUCAGUUCGUACUGUGAAGCAUCCUGUUAAGUCAGGCAACGAGCGAGACCCGUGCCCACUGUUGCCAGCAUGUCCUUCGGGAUGAUGGGUACUCUGUGGGACCGCCGAUGCUAAAUCGGAGGAAGGUGCGGGCUACGGUAGGUCAGUAUGCCCCGAAUCUCCCGGGCUACACGCGGGCUACAAUGACUGGGACAAUGGGCUCCUACCCCGAAAGGGGAUGGUAAUCUCAUAAACCCAGCCUUAGUUCGGAUCGAGGGCUGUAACCCGCCCUCGUGAAGCUGGAAUCCGUAGUAAUCGCGUUUCAACAUAGCGCGGUGAAUACGUCCCUGCUCCUU